UGGGUUGUUGCUCAGCGGUAGAGUACUCGCCGUUUAUGUGUAAGGCCCUGGGUUCAAUCCUCAGUAACACAU
rnacentral:tRNA from 1 species